rnacentral:rRNA from 1 species
GAUGAACGCUGGCGGCGUGCCUAAUACAUGCAAGUCGAGCGAACGGACGAGAAGCUUGCUUCUCUGAUGUUAGCGGCGGACGGGUGAGUAACACGUGGAUAACCUACCUAUAAGACUGGGAUAACUUCGGGAAACCGGAGCUAAUACCGGAUGAUAUUUUGAACCGCAUGGUUCAAAAGUGAAAGACGGUCUUGCUGUCACUUAUAGAUGGAUCCGCGCUGCAUUAGCUAGUUGGUAAGGUAACGGCUUACCAAGGCAACGAUGCAUAGCCGACCUGAGAGGGUGAUCGGCCACACUGGAACUGAGACACGGUCCAGACUCCUACGGGAGGCAGCAGUAGGGAAUCUUCCGCAAUGGGCGAAAGCCUGACGGAGCAACGCCGCGUGAGUGAUGAAGGUCUUCGGAUCGUAAAACUCUGUUAUUAGGGAAGAACAUAUGUGUAAGUAACUGUUCACAUCUUGACGGUACCUAAUCAGAAAGCCACGGCUAACUACGUG